rnacentral:misc_RNA from 1 species
UAAUAAGUGUUUUAUGGCACUUUUUAAAUCCAUAUCCACCUUGUGUGCAAUGUCAAGUCGAUCUUCUUCAUGGAGAUCGACCAAACAUCAACCUUUAUCUUUUAACUCUUUGUCUGAAAAAUAUUAUGAAUAAACAAUUCAAAAUA